GGGGCAGUAGCUCAGCGGUAGAGCAAUGUUAGUUUUAAAAUUAUCAUCAAAGGUCAAUUAAAACUUACUUCCGCUUACGACGCCAUCGGUCGUGGGUUCGAAUCCCACCUGCUCCA
rfam:Flavobacteriaceae bacterium CRH Contig17, whole genome shotgun sequence.